GUGCAGAUGGUAGCAGCCUAAAUGAUGGAUGGGGAACACCAGGAAGAGAAUCCUUUACACGAGAAAGGAAAUCCUCUACACAAUGAAGAGAAGACUUCAAGUGAUGUGGAGAAGACUUUAUAUGACAUGGAGAGAGCUUUAUGUGACAUAAAAAAUAGUGCUGAAGAGAACAGUUCAAGUGAUGAUAACAGUUCAGGUGAUGAAGUAGAAGAACAAAGACUGGAUUCAAACCUCCCAAGUGGUUCAGAUCCUCUUCCAUCUAAUGCAGAAAGCCCCUGCGAUAAUAGUGAAUCUGAGCCGUCCCCCCAAAAAGCAGCACAAGCUAAAAAAACUUGCCUCAAGAAGUUUGCGCCACGGAAAGGCACAAGGUCAAGCCUACGUUCCAGCACAAAAUUGACAGUCAGUGCAUGUGAUACGACAGAUGAUGGUAAAAGAAAAUUGGACAAAAAGCACUUCUGCCUGUAUUGCAGUGAACCACACCACAACAUUGCAAGACAUUUAGAAAGGAUGCACGCAGAAGAAGCAGCUGUUGGUCAUGCUAUCAGCUUCCCAAAACUCUCCAAAAUCAGGUCUCUGUUGCUUGACCAACUCCGUAACAAAGGCAACUAUCAACACAACUUUGAAGUUCUUCAAAGUGGAGCUGGGGAAAUUGUGAGAAAGUGUAGACCAUCUAACGAUGGCGUUUCUGUGCGUGACUGCCUGCCCUGCCAACACUGCUUAGCUUUUUUCUCCAAAAUUGAUUUAUGGAAGCAUGAGAGCUCAUGUAAUGCCAGAAAAGGACAAGAUGAAAUGAGGGGAGGAAAAAGAGUGAGGAUCCAGGCUGCGUCCUCUCAACUUGUUCCAUUGCCUGUCUAUUCUACUGGAGGAUAUGAAGAAAUAAUACACAAUAUGAAUCAAGAUGACAUCUCAUGCCACAUCAAAAAUGAUCCCCUCAUAUGUAAAUAUGGCAAUGCACUAUCUGCAAAGCAUGGUCAUGCCAAGUCACAGUUUACUUACAUUGGUUCAAAAAUGAGGGAAUUGGCUAGAUUUGUACUUGCUGUAAAUGAGAUGGACUGUGGUGUUCAAUAUCUGCAUGAAGUAUGUGUACCAUCCAAAUUCAAAUUGGCCGUUCAUGCUGCCAGGAAAAUGAGUGGUCAUGACCCUGCCUCCGACAGGUACAAGACCCCAUCUCUUGCUUUAAAGAUUGGCUAUUCCUUGAAAAGAGCUACCGAAAUAGCUUUUGGGGAGAGUCGUAUGACAGAGAACCGUGAGGCAGAGGAACAAGCCAAAAGGUUCAUUGAACUUCUUGAAAACGAUUGGAAUAACUGUUUUUCCGGUCUAUCCCUCAGCGCUGUCCCUCAGUGUGAUGAAGUUGAUGUGUCUUCACUAACUGAGGAUUUGAUCAAACUUCAGAAGUUUCUCAAGGUUGCAGAGGACACAGCGAAGAAAGAAUUGCUGGAGAACCCCACCAACACUGUCUGGAAAAAGCUCAAUGAAACUCUUCUUGCAGAAAUAGCUCUCUUCAACAGAAAAAGGACAGGCGAAGUUGCGAAAAUGCUGUUGGAAACAUACACAAACAGGAAGAAAUCUCCAGCUAGUGCAGACAUUUUCAAUAACCUCUCAAGGCUGGAGCAGGAGCUUGGAGACGACAAAUUAACCAGGUUGGAAAUAGAAGGCAAAAAUGGUAGGAAAAUGCCAGUCCUACUAACGGAGAGGAUGAUCUCAUCUCUUGAGAUCCUUAUUGCAAACAGAGACAAAGUUGGUGUGUCAAAGGACAACCCUUAUGUCUUUGCACGUAGCCUGGAUGCAGCAAGCUACAUCAGAGGGUUUGACUGUCUGAGGAAGUGUGCACAUGAGUGUGAUGCAAAGAAUCCUGAAAGUCUGAUCCAUGCGACAGUGAGGAAAGAGGUUGCUAUCCAUUGCCAACUACUAAACUUGAAUGAAAGUGAAUUGGAUCAGGUGGCAAAGUUAUUGGGACAUGACACCCAGGUCCAUAAAGAGUACUACAGGCUCUCUGAAAAUGCUGCACAUCUAGCAGAAAUCAGCAAACUGCUGCUUGCAAUGGAUCAGGUUUCAGUGGUAAUUCCAGGGCCAUCUGAGGAAAGGGUUGUUUCUCCUACAUAUGGGACAUCUUCUGCAGGGACAUACCCAGCUGGGACAGAUACUGGAAGGACAUAUCCUACCGAGACAUGUCCUACUGGGUCAUCAUAUCCUACAGAGACAUAUUCAGCGAAGUCAUAUACUGUGGAGGCACAGCCUUCAAGGUCAUAUCAUGCUGGGACAUAUCCUGAGAAGUCAUAUCCUUCAGGAUCACAUUCUGCGAGGUCAUAUUCUGCAGGGAAAGAUUCUGCGAGAGCAUAUCCUACCGUGACACAUCCUGCAGGGACCGAUCCAGCAGGUUCAUAUGUUGCAGGGACAUAUACUGCAGGCACUCACCAUGCAAGAUCAUAUCCUGCAAGUCCUUAUGGCCUUUCAUCUCCUGCAACAUCAUAUGCUUCGGGGACUAAUCCUGCAAGUUCAUAUCCUGCACAAACACUUCCAGCGCGUACAGUUAUUACGCCAACACUUCAUGCACAGACACUUCCUGUCAGGACAGUUCCUGCGAGGACAAGUCCUGUGAGGCCGUGGAGUGAUGCGGCUAAGGCUGCGGUAAAGCGUCAGUUGGGACACUUUAUCUCAAUGAUGAAGGUUCCAGGUAAACGGGACUGUGAAGUAUGCCUCCACAAUGAACCAGCUGUACGAGACAGGACAUGGAGAGACAUCAAAAACUAUGUGCACAACACAGUAAAAUCUAUUAAAAGGAAGAAGGGCCGUACAGGAGUGGACCCCAGAAAAUGGACAAAGAAAGAAUCGGCAAAGAUUGCUAAGGAAGAGGUUGGUGGAACAAGGACUGUACCUGCACAGAGUGAAGACGAGAGACUAGAGGCAGGUCCUGUUGCUGUGACAACACAAAGGAAGCAGAAGAUAUGGAGUGAUGAGGCUCAGGCUGCGGUCAGGCGGCAGCUAGGAGACUUCACUAAACUGAUGAAGAUUCCAGGUAAAACGGAAUGUGAUGCAUGUAUUGCAGCUGAACCAGUUCUACAAGGCAGGACAUGGAAAGAUGUAAAAAACUAUGUGCAUAACACAUUAAUGACAAUGUGCAGGAGGCAUAUUUCAGGCAAGCAAAACAUGGACCAUGAAAAACAAAGUCCAGGGACACAGAAACCAGGGAUGCAACAGAAACCAAAGGUGCCGUUGGGACUUCCAGAAGAUCUUCCUGUUUAUCUGUACUUAUGA
rnacentral:lncRNA from 1 species